rnacentral:rRNA from 1 species
GGGGGGGGGGGGGGGCGGGGGGGGCGCGUGCAGGGCGAGCGGAAAGGGCCGGCGGGGGGGGGGUGCUCGGGGGGCGAACGGGGGAGUAACACGUGAGUAACCUGCCCUUGCCUUUGGGAUAACUUCAGGAAACUGGGGCUAAUACCGGCUAGGAGCGCCUGCUGCAUGGUGGGGGUUGGAAAGCUUCGGCGGUUGGGGAUGGACUCGCGGCUUAUCAGCUUGGUGGUGGGGUAGUGGCUUACCAAGGCUUUGCCGGGUAGCCGGCCUGAGAGGGUGACCGGCCACAUUGGGACUGAGAUACGGCCCAGACUCCUACGGGAGGCAGCAGUGGGGAAUAUUGCACAAUGGGCGGAAGCCUGAUGCAGCAACGCCGCGUGCGGGAUGACGGCCUUCGGGUUGUAAACCGCUUUCGCCUGUGACGAAGCGUGAGUGACGGUAAUGGGUAAAGAAGCACCGGCUAACUACGUG